CCUAGGGACGGACUGAGCGGCAGCAAGAAAAAUGAGGGACUUUCAGGGGCAGCUGUGUUUUACUAACCCAGUCAUAAUGCCCCUAAAAAUCCUUAUUGUUCUUGCAAUGGUCAACUGUGACCUCCAGCACGGGGAGGCCUGCAAGGAAAGCACUUGGGGCAGCGCAGGCGUGGCAGGGCAGGUCUACCCUCGGAAAGGCUUGAUGGCAAGUGGGAGCAGUGUUUCAGGCUGGAGCAAGAGGUUCUGUUGGAGUGGAGCUGAAAAGAUGUGUUGUUGUGAAUUGUGGUUAUGCAGCAUGUACUGUGUAUGAAGCUCAGGGCACAGGAACUGCAACACAAAGUGGGGGAAAGGAAACAAGCCAAGCGCUUUCCUGCCUGCUGUGCCUGUCUUGCGUUCCCUGCCCCAGCAGAGUGAAAUGCAACUGGAGAGAUGCACAACCCGACCCCAGAGGAAGAGCCCAAACCACCCCCAGUCCCUGUUUUACUCCUCUUUCAGCUGACUGCUCUAAGUCUCUGCUCAGCCAUAGCACCCCCCUCUGAGCCUUAUUUUCUACUCUAAUUUUCCAGAUCACUCCAGAAUGCAGUAAUUGCAUGCAAAGAAGCAAUUUGUUAAAUAAAACUGUAGUAUUAAAUUAUUUGCCAUCUUUAUGCACUCUUAAUGCUUCAUUUCUGUUUCUGAGAGCUUCUAUACCUUGAGUAAAAGUUGUUAUUUUUCACUGAACUCUGCAACAAUGAUCAAAGCUUUUAUCUUUUAGGAACUCCACCUGGGGCUAUGGAGAGUCAAUGUGGCCCCACACCACCAACAGCCCCUUUUUGCACUCUCUGGUUGGAUUACUUAUUACUUUUCUGGGAAGUUUUUGUUUAAAGCUUUUAUCAAGUUUAUAAAUGAACAGAUAUGUUUAUCAAUUAAUUUUGCUUUCUAAGCCUAUGCCAACAGAUUAGAAAUGCAUGCUUAUUUUUUGUCUAUAGUGACUACAUAGACUUGCUUUUACAUACCACUUGCCUAUUUUUGAUUGGGUUAUAUGGCUCUGGAGCAAGAUUUAUUCAUUUGUUAUUUGUUAUUCUCAGGAGCAUUUCAUCUGCUUUCCUUAAAGCUGAAUUCUCUGUAAAGGAGAAGUGACGAGAAACCCUGCAGUGAGUCCCAGGUCUCACUGAACGUUGUGAGGACGCUGCCGUAGUGACAGUGCUCCAGUUAAGGAAUUACUGCUUUGAGACCUUUGAUUUCUGAGACUGCCCUGUUACAGGAAGGCCCAGACCCUCUGCUUCUCUCCACAAGGAUUCCUUCAUCUGGCAACUCUCAUGUCUUCAUCUGAUACUUGAGAUCGAAGAGCUUGAAUGCUCCUUGGCAAAAUGGGUGGAUGGAAUUAGUUCAUUCUGUUCUGAUCCUGAUACCUACUAAUCACCUCAACUGCUAAUGGGCUGCAGAGCAACAACCUACUACAGUGGAAUAUUUUGUGCUGAAAACAGGAAGAUCGGGAAUGAGGGUUUGUAACUUUUUUGGAUGUGUUUCUAUGUUUCAAUUUUUAUUUUUAGUAUCACCACCUUACUCAAAGUAAGAAUAUAUGUUAAAAUAAACACAUUUUUGCUCUGAAAUACUGGAAUACGCCUCCCCAGGUUCUUCCUAUCUCAGCUCUGCCCUAUGAAGAGAACCCACUCAUGGAUUUUAAAGCCAGAACGACGAGUCUGAACCUCUAACAUUGGAUGUGCACAGAGCAACUCCUGCAGCUCAUCCUGAAGCCAGGGCCCUGAUGAAUGGAUCUUUUUCUUAUGUGCUGUAGGAACUCUGCCUGUACAAACGUCUGCCAAGCUGUUCCAGUGCUUUGUGUCCUUGUGGCCUGCACCUUACUCAAGCUGCAAGUUUCCGGUUGGGCAUCUUGUGCAGCCUCUGGAUGAAACCCUUCAUGUAUGUGACUGCGUGUGGUGAACAGGCGAGCGCAGCACGGGGGGUUGGUGCUAUUUUUAUCCCAGCUGUUCCCAAAACAGCUCUCCCAGUCAGGCCGGUCACACGCACCCCUCCAGUUGCCGCGCUGCCCGUCAGAGCGGAGGGUAGGUGCAGCAGAGCUCUGCGGGACGCUGGGGACGGGGCCAGGGGCUGAUCUGCAGGAUCCCUCGUGCCUAUCCCGCGGGUGGGAUCCAGCCCUGCAGGUCCCUCUUUAACACUUCAGGACAUUCCCAGGAGACCCAUGACUCUGUUUCUUGGUGCCCAAGCCAAGCCACUAAGAUUGCAAGAGCAAAUUUAGGUUUGAUGUUUAUUUUUUAGGUUCAGUGUCAUUUAGUACCUCCAAUUGGGCCUGGAAAAAAUGCAGGAAUACCUAAAAUAAAGGUGUUUUGAAAAGUA